UCGGAGAGGGCGCAUGAGAAACGGCUACCACAUCUAAGGAAGGCAGCAGGAGCGUAAAUUACCCAAUGUCGACUCGAUGAGCGUAGUGACAAUACAUAACAAAGAGGGGAUUUUUUAUCUUACUCUAUUGCAAUGAGGCAUGUUUAAUAACCUGUUCGAGCAACCAGUGAAGGGCAAGUCUGGUGCCAGCAGCCGCGGUAAUUCCAGCUUCACGAGUGUAUAUUUAAGUUGUUGCAGUUAAAAAGCUCGUAGUUGAACUUCUGUUUGUUCAGGAGGUGUGCAAGCACAAUCUGGGCGAACAUCCGCCUGAAAAAUCAUUCGGGUCUUCACUGACUCAGUGAUGGAUCAGGCAUUUUACUUUGAAAAAAUUAGAGUGUUCAAAGCAGGCUUUCGCCUGAAUACAUUAGCAUGGAAUAAUAGAAUAGGACGCUGUUCAAUUUGUUGGUUAUUGAAUUGCGUAAUGAUUAAUAGGGACAGUUGGGGGCAUUUGUAUUUAAUUGUCAGAGGUGAAAUUCUGGAUUUAUUAAAGACAAACUUAUGCGAAAGCAUUUGCCAAGGAUGUUUUCAUUAAUCAAGAACGAAAGUUAGAGGAUCAAAGACGAUCAGAUACCGUCCUAGUUUUAACUAUAAACUAUGCCGACUCGGUCUCAGUCAAGUCUUCCUAACUUGAUUGGUGCCGUAUGAGAAAUCAAAGUCUUUGGGUUCCGGGGGGAGUAUGGUCGCAAGGUUGAAACUUAAAGGAAUAGACGGAACAUCACUACCGGGUGUGGAUCCUGCGGCUUAAUUUGACUCAACACGGGGAAACUUACCAGCGCAAAACAAGGGUGGGAUUGACAGAUUGAGAGCUCUUUCUUGAUUCUUUGGAUAGUGGUGCAUGGCCGUUCUUAGUUGGUGGAGUGAUUUGUCUGCUUAAUUGCGUUAACGAACGAGACCUCAACCUACUUACUAGACGCGUGAUUAAUUCAUCGCGUGUUCUUCUUAGAGGGACUGUGCGGAGACAAACGCAAGGAAGUUUGAGGCAAUAACAGGUCUGUGAUGCCCUUAGAUGUGCUGGGCCGCACGCGGGAUACAAUGACCCGUUCAGAAAGUAUAACCUGACCCGGAAGGGAGUGGGUAAUCUUUUUAAUGCGGGUCGUGCUAGGGAUCGAUCUUUGCAAUUAUAGAUCUUGAACGAGGAAUACCUAGUAAGUGCAAGUCAUCAGCUUGUACUGAUUACGUCCCUGGUGUUUGUACUCACCGCCCGUCGCUCCUACCAAUUUCGAAUGAUCCGGUGAACCUUUUGGAUUGGGUGCAAGCCUAAGAAGUUAAGUAAACCUUAUCAUUUAGAGGAAGGAGAAGUCGUAACAAGGUAGCCGUA
rnacentral:rRNA from 1 species